AGUCACAGCAGCCUAACUGUCAGCAAAAUUCUGGGAUUCGCUGAGAUCAUUCCCCAACACACGGAGCAUCAUGAGGUGGUUGAUCCUGGCAUUCGUUUGCGUCCACCUGUCAGAGGGCUUACAUAGAAUCAUUCUGAAGAAAGGAAAAUCCACUCGUGAAAAUAUGAGAGAGAAUGGAGUGCUGGAAGAAUUUUUG